rnacentral:rRNA from 1 species
UAUUACCAGAAGCGACGGCAGGAUGAAGGUCAGACCAAAGAUCUUACCUGACGAGCCGAGAGGUGGUGCAUGGCGACCGUCAGCUCGUGGUGCGAACUGUCCGGUUAAGUCCGGUAACGAGCGAGACCCUUGCGAAUAGUUGCCACCGGCUUAGCGAUAAGCCGAGCACUCUAUUCGGACCGCCUCUGUUUAAAGAGGAGGAAGGAGGGGCGACGGAUACGUCAGUAUGCCCUCGAAU